rnacentral:misc_RNA from 1 species
AACUAACGCAUUCUUUGUUACAGUUUCUGUACUAUAUUG